rnacentral:rRNA from 1 species
UACGUAGGGUGCAAGCGUUGUCCGGAAUUAUUGGGCGUAAAGAGCUCGUAGGCGGUUUGUCGCGUCUGCUGUGAAAACGCGAGGCUCAACCUCGCGCCUGCAGUGGGUACGGGCAGACUAGAGUGCGGUAGGGGAGAUUGGAAUUCCUGGUGUAGCGGUGAAAUGCGCAGAUAUCAGGAGGAACACCGAUGGCGAAGGCAGAUCUCUGGGCCGUAACUGACGCUGAGGAGCGAAAGCGUGGGGAGCGAACAGG